rnacentral:tRNA from 1 species
UCCCUAAUGGCUCAGAGGGUAAAGAAUCUGCCUGUAAUGCAGGAGACCUGGGUUCAGUUCCUGGGUCGGGAA